rnacentral:rRNA from 1 species
AUACGGAGGAUGCGAGCGUUAUCCGGAUUUAUUGGGUUUAAAGGGUGCGCAGGCGGCGCGCCAAGUCAGCGGUCAAAGUUCCGGGCUCAACCCGGUGUCGCCGUUGAAACUGGCGUGCUCGAGUGCGUGCGAGGAAGGCGGAAUGCGUUGUGUAGCGGUGAAAUGCAUAGAUAUGACGCAGAACUCCGAUUGCGAAGGCAGCUUUCCAGCGCGCUACUGACGCUGAGGCACGAAAGCGUGGGGAUC